UACGAAGGGGGCUAGCGUUGUUCGGAAUUACUGGGCGUAAAGCGCGCGUAGGCGGUUUUACAAGCCAGAGGUGAAAUGCCCGAGCUUAACUUGGGAAUUGCCUUUGGAACUGUAUGGCUUUGAGGACGAGAGAGGUGAGUGGAAUUCCCAGUGUAGAGGUGAAAUUCGUAGAUAUUGGGAAGAACACCGGUGGCGAAGGCGGCUCACUGGCUCGUUUCUGACGCUGUAGCGCGAAAGCGUGGGGAUCAAA
rnacentral:rRNA from 1 species